UAGCUCAGUUGGUGGAGCAUGGCGCUUGCAAUGCCAGGAACAUGGGUUCAAUUCCCGG
rnacentral:tRNA from 1 species